rnacentral:rRNA from 1 species
GUGGGGAAUCUUCCGCAAUGGACGAAAGUCUGACGGAGCAACGCCGCGUGAACGAUGACGGCCUUCGGGUUGUAAAGUUCUGUUAUACGGGACGAAUGGUACGACGGUCAAUACCCGUCGUAAGUGACGGUACCGUAAGAGAAAGCCACGGCUAACUACGUGCCAGCAGCCGCGGUAAUACGUAGGUGGCAAGCGUUGUCCGGAAUUAUUGGGCGUAAAGGGCGCGCAGGCGGCGUCGUAAGUCGGUCUUAAAAGUGCGGGGCUUAACCCCGUGAGGGGACCGAAACUGCGAUGCUAGAGUAUCGGAGAGGAAAGCGGAAUUCCUAGUGUAGCGGUGAAAUGCGUAGAUAUUAGGAGGAACACCAGUGGCGAAAGCGGCUUUCUGGACGACAACUGACGCUGAGGCGCGAAAGCCAGGGGAGCAAACGGGAUUAGAAACCCUGGUAGUCC